AACGAACGCUGGCGGCAUGCCUAACACAUGCGAGUCGAACGAGACCUUCGGGUCUAGUGGCGCACGGGUGCGUAACGCGUGGGAACCUGCCCUUAGGUUCGGAAUAACUCCUCGAAAGGGGUGCUAAUACCGGAUAAUGUCUUCGGACCAAAGAUUUAUCGCCUUUGGAUGGGCCCGCGUUGGAUUAGCUAGUUGGUAGGGUAAAAGCCUACCAAGGCGACGAUCCAUAGCUGGUCUGAGAGGAUGAUCAGCCACACUGGGACUGAGACACGGUCCAGACUCCUACGGGAGGCAGCAGUGGGGAAUAUUGGACAAUGGGCGAAAGCCUGAUCCAGCAAUGCCGCGUGAGUGAUGAAGGCCUUAGGGUUGUAAAGCUCUUUUACCCGGGAUGAUAAUGACAGUACCGGGAGAAUAAGCUCCGGCUAACUCCGUG
rnacentral:rRNA from 1 species